CUUCUACUCCCUCCGUUCGGAAUUACUUGUCUCGGAAAUGGAUGUAUAUAGAACUAAAAUACAUCUAGAUACAUCCAUUUCUACAACAAGUAAUUCCGAACCGAGGGAGUAUAAA
rnacentral:pre_miRNA from 1 species